rnacentral:rRNA from 1 species
UACGUAGGUGGCAAGCGUUGUCCGGAAUUAUUGGGCGUAAAGAGCUCGUAGGCGGUCUGUUGCGUCGGCUGUGAAAACCCGGGGCUCAACUCCGGGCCUGCAGCCGAUACGGGCAGACUAGAGUUCGGCAGGGGAGACUGGAAUUCCUGGUGUAGCGGUGAAAUGCGCAGAUAUCAGGAGGAACACCGGUGGCGAAGGCGGGUCUCUGGGCCGAUACUGACGCUGAGGAGCGAAAGCGUGGGGAGCGAACAGG